rnacentral:rRNA from 1 species
GCAAGUCGAACGCGAACGUCUCUUCGGAGGCUAGUAGAGUGGCGAACGGGUGAGUAACACGUGGAUAACCUGCCCGGAUGUGGGGGACAACUUUUGGAAACGGAAGCUAAUACCGCAUUCGCUCAUAGAUCGCAUGGUCUAUGAGGAAAGGCCGCUUCGGCGGUCGCAUCCGGAGGGAUCCGCGGCUGAUUAGCUAGUUGGUGGGGUAACGGCCUACCAAGACGAUGAUGCAUAGCCGACCUGAGAGGGUGAUC